rnacentral:tRNA from 1 species
GCCUGGGUAGCUCAGUCAGUUAAGCAUCUGGCUUAGGCUCAGGUCAUGAUGUGGUUCUUGGGUUCGAGCCCCACAUCAGGCU